AUAGUACGCGACAGUUUGACAUGGCAAUCGGGGUGGCGACGUCCCGCACACCCGCACAGCACCCGCGCUAACCUGGUGCGGAGGAGCC